GCCUGUGUAGCUCAGUUGGUUGAGUGACUGACUGGCUCAGGUUUGAUCUUGCAGUCCGUGAGUUCAAGCCCCACCUCAGGCU
rnacentral:tRNA from 1 species